rnacentral:rRNA from 1 species
GCGGCAGACUUAACACAUGCAAGUCGAGCGAGAAACCACUUCGGUGGCGGAAAGCGGCGAACGGGUGAGUAACACGUAGGUUACGUGCCCUUUGGUGGGGGAUAGCCCAGGGAAACCUGGAUUAAUACCGCAUAUGUCCUUCGGGAUGAAAGCCUUCGGGCGCCAAAGGAUCGGCCUGCGGCCCAUUAUUUAAUCCUGGAUGGUAAGGUAACGGCUUACCAUGGGUACGAUGGGUAGCUGGUCUGAGAGGAUGAUCAGCCACACUGGGACUGAGACACGGCCCAGACUCCUACGGGAGGCAGCAGUGGGGAAUAUUGGACAAUGGGCGAAAGCCUGAUCCAGUCAUGCCGCGUGUGUGAUGAAGGCCUUCGGGUUGUAAAGCACUGUCGGGAGGGAAGAAAGCUUCGGCUUGACGGUACCUCGCAAGAAAGCACCGGCUAACUCCGUGCCAGCAGCCGCGGUAAUACGGAGGGUGCAAGCGUUGCUCGGAAUUACUGGGCGUAAAGCGUACGCAGGCGGCCAAUUAAGUUGGAUGUGAAAGCCCUGGGCUCAACCCAGGAAUUGCAUUCAAAACUGGUUGGCUUGAGUGUGAGAGAGGGAAGUGGAAUUCCAGGUGUAGAGGUGAAAUUCGUUGAUAUCUGGAGGAACACCGGCGGCGAAGGCGGCUUCCUGGCUCACAACUGACGCUCAUGUACGAAAGCGUGGGUAGCAAACAGGAUUAGAUACCCUGGUAGUCCACGCCGCAAACGAUGUUUGCUAGGUGUUGGUGGAAUUUACCCCAUCAGUGCCGCAGUUAACGCAUUAAGCAAACCGCCUGGGGAGU